rnacentral:lncRNA from 1 species
AUCAAACCAUGAUCACCAUCAAUACCAACACAACAUCACACCGCCACCGCCUCUGACUCAUCUACAACCACUGAAGACAGCCAGAUCUAAAGCCGGACAAGUCGUUUCAUUAUUUUUCCUCAACAAAACCCAAAAUCGAAAUUGAAAGAUCAGUUUCUACAUAAAAAUUAUCGAAAGGAGGAAAUGGAUAGCCGAAAACCUAAUUCAUCAUGCAUGACUCAAGUCAAAGGAUCCGUCAGCCAGUCGAUCUUCGUUAUUUCUGUGGGCUCAUCCAUUACAGCCUCUACUACCGUCAUGAGAUCGUCGGCGCUGCUAACUCAAAUGGUAGAAAGAGGAAAAGGGGGUAGAAACAGCGUGUAGAGAGGAGAGAGUGGAGGAGAGGGAGA